GGGGGGCAAGGAAGAUCAUUCACGAACAGCAGACUGCGGAUCAACGUGGUGCAAUACGCAACAGCACCACGGGGAAAGGCUCAAAUGUCGGCAGUGUUUGCCUGGAUCGUUGAGAAGAACGCGUGAGCCACACACCAUGUCAAUGGAUGGCCGAUACAAGCGGCCACCUGGGGAGCACUGGUACCCAUCCUCCACCACACGGUGCAAGGUCCGGUUACAGCACAGCACCCCUCGGUCCUCUACACCAUACGGAGUUGUACCGCAGCACUAGGAGAGAGACACACACUGCUUGGGGGAUUUCUUCUUCUUCCCCAUCGUCUUCUUCAGAUACCUCCUCUUCUAAAUCACUGUUCUCUUGUUCCUCCUGGACAUCUGAAAAAAAUCUGAUCUACGACCUGUUGGGCACUGAAACGUGUACUCAUGGCUUCAGCAAAGAGAGAACUGGGGACUGUCAUCUGCAACACCUUUAUAGCCUCUAACUGCAUAACCCAUUAGUAAACAAUGCUUUCAAUAAAUGUUUAUUUUGUCUGAAA